rnacentral:rRNA from 1 species
UACGUAGGGUGCAAGCGUUAUCCGGAUUUAUGGGCGUAAAGGGCUCGUAGGCGGUUCGUCGCGUCCGGUGUGAAAGUCCAUCGCUUAACGGUGGAUCCGCGCCGGGUACGGGCGGGCUUGAGUGCGGUAGGGGAGACUGGAAUUCCCGGUGUAACGGUGGAAUGUGUAGAUAUCGGGAAGAACACCAAUGGCGAAGGCAGGUCUCUGGGCCGUUACUGACGCUGAGGAGCGAAAGCGUGGGGAGCGAACAGG